rnacentral:rRNA from 1 species
ACGUAGGGGGCAAGCGUUAUCCGGAAUUACUGGGCGUAAAGAGCGUGUAGGCGGGUUUGUAAGUCCGAUGUGAAAUUCCCGGGAUUAACUUGGGAGGGGCCUCCGAUACUGGCAAUAUUGAGUCUUGUAGAGGAUGGUAGAAUACCCGGUGUAGGGGUGAAAUGCGUAGAUCUCAGGAGGAAUACCAGUGGCGAAGGCGUCUAUCUGGACUGUGACUGACGCUGAGGCGCGAAAGCGUGGGGAUCAAACAG